AGAAAAUCACAAUUCAUAUUGGAAGCCAUAGAACUUAUUCUAAAAAACAAUUAUUUUUGGUACAAUGAAAUUUUUUUUCUACAGAUCAAAGGAACGGCCAUGGGAACUAAGUUCGCCCCCAGUUAUGCCAAUCUUUUUAUGGCAUUUUGGGAAAAUCAUUUUAUCUAUGGUCAGCAGAACUGGGUGGAGAACUUAGUUACCUAUGGCCGUUAUAUAGAUGAUAUAUUUUUUAUUUGGGAAGGACAAGAAGAAGACCUAUCCAUC